GGCGGCGUGCCUAAUACAUGCAAGUAGAACGCUGAAGACUUUAGCUUGCUAAAGUUGGAAGAGUUGCGAACGGGUGAGUAACGCGUAGGUAACCUGCCUACUAGCGGGGGAUAACUAUUGGAAACGAUAGCUAAUACCGCAUAACAGCAUUUAACACAUGUUAGAUGCUUGAAAGGAGCAAUUGCUUCACUAGUAGAUGGACCUGCGUUGUAUUAGCUAGUUGGUGAGGUAACGGCUCACCAAGGCGACGAUACAUAGCCGACCUGAGAGGGUGAUCGGCCACACUGGGACUGAGACACGGCCCAGACUCCUACGGGAGGCAGCAGUAGGGAAUCUUCGGCAAUGGGGGCAACCCUGACCGAGCAACGCCGCGUGAGUGAAGAAGGUUUUCGGAUCGUAAAGCUCUGUUGUAAGAGAAGAACGUGUGUGAGAGUGGAAAGUUCACACAGUGACGGUAACUUACCAGAAAGGGACGGCUAACUACGUGCCAGCAGCCGCGGUAAUACGUAGGUCCCGAGCGUUGUCCGGAUUUAUUGGGCGUAAAGCGAGCGCAGGCGGUUUAAUAAGUCUGAAGUUAAAGGCAGUGGCUUACCCAUUGUUCGCUUUGGAAACUGUUAGACUUGAGUGCAGAAGGGGAGAGUGGAAUCCAUGUGUACCCGUGAAAUGC
rnacentral:rRNA from 1 species